UCCCAUAUAGUCUAGACGGUUAGGAUAACUGGUUUUCACCCAGUCGACCCGGGUUCAAGUCCCGGUAUGGGAA
rnacentral:tRNA from 1 species